rnacentral:rRNA from 1 species
AUGGUGCUUGCACCUGAUUGACGAUGGAUCACCAGUGAGUGGCGGACGGGUGAGUAACACGUAGGUAACCUGCCCCGGAGCGGGGGAUAACAUUUGGAAACAGAUGCUAAUACCGCAUAACAACAAAAGCCACAUGGCUUUUCUUUGAAAGAUGGCUUUGGCUAUCACUCUGGGAUGGACCUGCGGUGCAUUAGCUAGUUGGUAAGGUAACGGCUUACCAAGGCGAUGAUGCAUAGCCGAGUUGAGAGACUGAUCGGCCACAAUGGAACUGAGACACGGUCCAUACUCCUACGGGAGGCAGCAGUAGGGAAUCUUCCACAAUGGGCGCAAGCCUGAUGGAGCAACACCGCGUGAGCGAAGAAGGGUUUCGGCUCGUAAAGCUCUGUUGUUGGAGAAGAACGUGCGUGAGAGUAACUGUUCACGCAGUGACGGUAUCCAACCAGAAAGUCACGGCUAACUACGUGCCAGCAGCCGCGGUAAUACGUAGGUGGCAAGCGUUAUCCGGAUUUAUUGGGCGUAAAGCGAGCGCAGGCGGUUGCUUAGGUCUGAUGUGAAAGCCUUCGGCUUAACCGAAGAAGUGCAUCGGAAACCGGGCGACUUGAGUGCAGAAGAGGACAGUGGAACUCCAUGUGUAGCGGUGGAAUGCGUAGAUAUAUGGAAGAACACCAGUGGCGAAGGCGGCUGUCUGGUCUGCAACUGACGCUGAGGCUCGAAAGCAUGGGUAGCGAACAGGAUUAGAUACCCUGGUAGUCCAUGCCGUAAACGAUGAGUGCUAGGUGUUGGAGGGUUUCCGCCCUUCAGUGCCGGAGCUAACGCAUUAAGCACUCCCGCCUGGGGGAGUACGACCGCA